ACGGAAGGCAGCAGUGGGGGAUAUUGCACAAUGGAGGAAACUCUGAUGCAGCAACGCCGCGUGAAGGAAGAAGGCCUUCGGGUUGUAAACUUCUGUCCUUGGUGACGAUAAUGACGGUAGCCAAGGAGGAAGCCACGGCUAACUACGUGCCAGCAGCCGCGGUAAUACGUAGGUGGCAAGCGUUGUCCGGAAUUACUGGGUGUAAAGGGUGCGUAGGCGGCUCAUAAAGUCAGAUGUGAAAUGCCGGGGCUUAACUCCGGAGCUGCAUUUGAAACUUAUGGGCUUGAGUGAAGUAGAGGUAAGCGGAAUUCCUAGUGUAGCGGUGAAAUGCGUAGAUAUUAGGAGGAACAUCAGUGGCGAAGGCGGCUUACUGGGCUUUAACUGACGCUGAGGCUCGAAAGCGUGGGGAGCAAACAGGAUUAGAUACCCUGGUA
rnacentral:rRNA from 1 species